rnacentral:rRNA from 1 species
AUGAUGUCCAGGCUCUGGAGGAAGGCUGGCGGCAAGAUUCAUAAGAUCAUCGGCGUUGGUGUGCACUACACCAGAGAAGAUGAACCUCCCCAGAUGGCAGCAGUCCUGCAGUUGUGCGUCGAUGAGCUCUUCUUGGUGUACCACAUCGCAGCGGCCACAAAAUGGCCCAAGCGCCCGAACGAGUUGCUGCAGCAUGAGACGUUGUUCACAUUUGCCGGUUUCAGCAUUGAAAGCGACAAAGAGAGGCUGAAGUUGUCCGGUAUGGAGAUCAACCCCAACAAGUUCAUCGACAUUCAGCGCAAGUGGAGAGUUCCAUACACCGGAAAAGAGUAUGACUCCUUGACUGAUGUUGCAGCCAGCGUCAUCCACCCAUUCACAAAGGCAUGA